rnacentral:rRNA from 1 species
CGGGUUGUAAAGUACUUUCAGCAGUGAGGAAGGUGGGUAUGUUAAUAGCAUAUUCAUUUGACGUUAGCUGCAGAAGAAGCACCGGCUAACUCCGUGCCAGCAGCCGCGGUAAUACGGAGGGUGCGAGCGUUAAUCGGAAUUACUGGGCGUAAAGCGCAUGCAGGUGGUUUGUUAAGUCAGAUGUGAAAGCCCCGGGGCUCAACCUCGGAAUUGCAUUUGAAACUGGCAAACUAGAGUACUGUAGAGGGGGUAGAAUUUCAGGUGUAGCGGUGAAAUGCGUAGAGAUCUGAAGGAAUACCGGUGGCGAAGGCGGCCCCCCUGGACAGAUACUGACACUCAGAUGCGAAAGCGUGGGGAGCAAACAGGAUUAGAUACCCCUGGUAG